UGCCACAGCCAUAUCACCCUGCAGCUCAAUACCGGUUACUCAUAGAAGCUAAGAAGGGUUGCGCUUGGUCCAUACUUGGAUGGGAGACCAAAUGGAAAAGACUAGGUUGCUGUUGGAA
ensembl:rRNA 5S_rRNA 5S ribosomal RNA